rnacentral:rRNA from 1 species
UACGUAGGGUGCAAGCGUUAAUCGGAAUUACUGGGCGUAAAGCGUGCGCAGGCGGUUAUGUAAGACAGUUGUGAAAUCCCCGGGCUCAACCUGGGAACUGCAUCUGUGACUGCAUAGCUAGAGUACGGUAGAGGGGGAUGGAAUUCCGCGUGUAGCAGUGAAAUGCGUAGAUAUGCGGAGGAACACCGAUGGCGAGGGCAAUGCCCUGGACCUGUACUGACGCUCAUGCACGAAAGCGUGGGGAGCAAACAGG